rnacentral:rRNA from 1 species
GACGAACGCUGGCGGCGUGCUUAACACAUGCAAGUCGAACGGAAAGGCCCUGCUUUUGUGGGGUGCUCGAGUGGCGCACGGGUGCGUAACACGUGAGUAACCUGCCCUUGACUUUGGGAUAACUUCAGGAAACUGGGGCUAAUACCGGAUAGGAGCUCCUGCUGCAUGGUGUGGGUUGGAAAGUUUCGGCGGUUGGGGAUGGACUCGCGGCUUAUCAGCUUGUUGGUGGGGUAGUGGCUUACCAAGGCUUUGACGGGUAGCCGGCAUGAGAGGGUGACCGGCGACAUUGGGACUGCGAUACGGACCAGACUCCUACGGGAGGCAGCAGUGGGGAAUCUUGCACAAUGGGCGGAAGCCUGAUGCAGCAACGCCGGGUGCGGGAUGACGGCCUUCGGGUUGUAAACCGCUUUCGCCUGUGACGAAGCGUGAGUGACGGUAAUGGGUAAAGAAGCACCGGCUAACUACGUG